rnacentral:rRNA from 1 species
CCUACGGGUGGCAGCAGUGGGGAAUAUUGCACAAUGGGGGAAACCCUGAUGCAGCGACGCCGCGUGAGUGAAGAAGUAAUUCGUUAUGUAAAGCUCUAUCAGCAGGGAAGAACAUGACGGUACAUGAGUAAGAAGCCCCGGCUAACUACGUGCCAGCAGCCGCGGUAAUACGUAGGGGGCAAGCGGUAUCCGGCUUUACUGGGGGUAAAGGGAGCGUAGACGGCAGUGCAAGUCUGGAGUGAAAGGCGGGGGCUCAACCCCCGGGCUGCUGUGGAAACUGUACGGCUGGAGUGCGGGAGAGGUAAGUGGAAUUCCUGGUGUAGCGGUGAAAGGCGUAGAUAUUAGGAGGAACACCAGUGGCGAAGGCGGCUUACUGGACUGUAACUGACGUUGAGGCUCGAAAGCGUGGGGAGCAAACAGGAUUAGAUACCCCGGUAGUC